rnacentral:lncRNA from 1 species
AUAUCACCCUUAUCCCAAACGCAAAGCCUUGGGAAAACAUUCCACUUCAUUGACCUACUUAAAAUCAAGAUGAUCAAGAUAGAAAAUCUACCGAGAGUAACAGUACCAAUUUUAUCAAAUAAUAUAGUCAUAUUUAUAUUACAAUCACUUUCAUACAAAAAAACCAUAAAUAUUUUGAUUCAGAAGUUAGGUAAUUAGAUAUCAUACCUUUAAGAACAAUACACAAUCUCCUAGGUCGCUAGCCUUUCCAGACUUCUGCAUUGACUCCUUAAACUAUUCAAUGCUUCUAACUAACUGUAGCAACACAAAUUCAGCCCAAUUAAAUUCCUUUAUAGCUUCUACAUUAGUAACAACAUCCAUUAAUUGCAUGCUAAACCUACUGCAUUUUGUUGGACAUGGAAACACACCAAGUGUGUACAACAAGAAGUGUUGUUGGAACUGCAGUUUUCGCAUACUAUUCCUUAUUCUCUUCAUCGCCUCCGCCUCCAUCACUGCUUUACAUCCACCAUACUCAGCUGUGAUGCGUCUAAGUAGUUCUUCAUGACCAAUUUUUGGCCCAAAACCAAAAUGACCACUUCUUCCAGAUGGGAUGCCCAAUACCUAACCCACAUGAUUAGAACAAUGUCCAAAUUGAUACUCCAUUUGGUAGACUAAUGCACACUUUCUCUGUGUUGAAUUUCUCAUACAACCAAUAGCAGAACUUCGAUUUAUAACUAUUUCUUGCAUUUUCAAUAGGACUUCAAACCCCAAAUCCUUUCACAGCUCUUCGAACCCCCAAAUCCUUCACCCACUUCUUUAGUUUUUCUGUCAACUCACUAAGCAGUGCUCUUAGUGCCAUUGGCCUACAUCUUAUGUUUAGGCUCCGUAUUGAGACAAAUAUAUUAUCAUGUCCUUUAUACUUAUAGCUGCCUAACAUACUUAAAUAAAAGAAACCUAUAAUAAUGCAACAUGGCCUCAAGAGAACACACACCAUAUUAUUUUUCUUUGUUCUCACAUAUGACCCAUAACGGUUCUUGCAACAUUCAUCCGACUCGAUCGGCACAACUACACAACUAUGCCUAUCAUUAUUAUGGAUGCUUAAAUUUUGCCCUGGCAAUGUUACUCAGCAUUGAUAACCUUUUUUGCUCUAAAAUAAGAUCGGGUCAUCUGAUAGACUUGAUUCUUUGACCGUGAUCUGAGUUUAAAAAAUUGAGUUGUCAGGCUAUUUUUGCAUUUUAGGGUUUCCUGGGGUUUCACAUCGAAACAAGGCCUGGGAAGCGCCUCGGGUUUGCCCGGGAAGCAUCCUGAUACACUGUCUUGUUUUGCAUGCCAUCCAAACCAUUUUUGCAGCCUGGUUUUGGGAUGUACCAUGUAGACCCCAAAAUUAAGGCCACCUAAUCACACCAUUUACCUAUAAAUAGGCCAAAGGUUAAAGGUUAGGGGUUGAAAAUUUUUCUAAGGGAGAAUUCUUGCAUAAUAUUUUCUAAGCUUUAAGAUUUGAGAUAUAAACAAGUUUUGUAUUCUCUAAUCUCACAAGCUAUGCAUUUUUCAUCAAACUUCCCUUGGAUUUCAUGUUUGUUUUCCAUAAAUACUCAUCUAAAUCACUGUAAAUCGGAUUAAUCACCAAGCAUCAAGGACUUUGGGUGUUCUCAACAAUUUUCAUUCAAAUCUUGGUUUUUUCUUCAAGGCAAGGUAAAUCUGAGAGUCUGAUUUCAUUUUCUUCAUCCUUUUCUUUUCCUUGGUGAUUAAAAUCACCUUUUAGAAGCCUGGUUCUGAGGGAAGCCCAUGAUCAACCAAACAGAAGUCUAUCUGCACAGAAGUGGCGUGCCUUAUAGCUAAGUGGCGCACGCCACUUCCCUAUAGCCAAACACUCCGAUAUUUCCUUUUCUGUGUUCUGGUUUGGGUAAGCCCCGUAUGCCACAAGAGUUAUGGCACAUGCCAUAACGUAUAGUGCAUGUGGCUUCAUUUCGGGAACUCAGAUUUAAUUUUCAUGCAGCCCAACUCUAAUAUGUGGGCCUUUUUGAAUCUAACACUAAGCGUUAAUGCUUAUUAUAAUGCCAUAACGUAUAGUGCAUGUGGCUUCAUUUCGGGAACUCAGAUUUAAUUUUCAUGCAGCCCAACUCUAAUAUGUGGGCCUUUUUGAAUCUAACACUAAGGGUUAAUGCUUAUUAUAAUAUUCUCAAUUCAUUCUGACCUUAAUAAACAACAAUAAUCAAUAAAUAGAUUGCGAUAGUCAUAUUUUUUCAUCAUCCAUGAUGAACAUCAAAUUAUUGAAUCUAAAUCUUAUUUUAAAUUGAAUCUAAAUCUAUUUUAAAUUGAAUCUAAACUUUUUAUCUUACUAUCCUUUAUAUUUCUGCACUUUAAAUUCCCAUCAUUUAAGGUUCAAGCAUUUUAUUUUUAUGCUUUAUUUAUUAUUAACUAACCCAUUAGCUUUUAAUUUAGUCUUUAAUUAUUUUGUCAUUUAAAUAUUGUUCAUACUUCCUUUUGUUAUUAAUUAUUAUUGUGAUCUAUGAUUCUAUGAUUAUCUAUAAUUAGUUUGUUUGUGUAUGGUUUGAUAUCAUUUAAUGCUUUGUUAUUAUAUUGAGUAUAAUGUAAAGAGUUCAUAAUGAGCUCUAAUUAAUUGCAAAUUAUAAUAGAUAGGGGGUUUGAGAAAUGUUAAUGGGAUUGAAAAUGUAUUUUAGGAUUUGGUUUGUAAUUAUUUUCAACUUCCCCUUUCUUUACAUGGUUUUGGUUUGAUGUUUUGCUUUAUGAUUAAUUGCUAAUAAUGCAUUUGAGUGUCAUGUUUUAUAAAAAUGCAUUAAAAUCAUUUUUAGCAUCUCAAUUAGAGUUAUACCGAUAUUGUGUUGUGAAUAAUUGGACAAAUGAUGGAGGUCAGUUUAUGGCUGGGCAAUCUGGGUGCCUAACAUCUUCCUGAGAUUAUACCUAACUUCUGGUUAAAACUGAUUCGAUUAUUUCAAAUGAAAUGGUCGAUUCGGGAUUUUCCUUAAAGAAGGUGGCAACUACAAAAAUAAAUUCUUACCAAAGUAAGAGCCUUCUUUCUCAAAACUCCCAUUUUCAAAAUAAAGACGCAUUUCUAAAGGUGAAACGGGUUUAAUAAAAAAAAUCGAUUUUAUAAUUAAAAUAAAUAUAACCCUGUUCCCCAUCCCAAAAGACGCAUAUCCAAUUAUCUUCUUUGUUUCCUUCCUCUCUGCAUGUGAAAACAAACAUAAAUUCUAUCUAAUUCCUUUCAUUGAAUUAUUAAGUUAUUCCUACACAUUCACAUUGAUAUGUCUCACACAUUCACAUUCAAUAUAAUCCUCUUCAUUAUAAUUCCUUUAUAAUCACAUUACGAUGUUCUAAUUCCAUGAACAAUCAUUUCUAAUUACAUCAAAUUUAAAACUAAACUUUACAAAGUUAAAGACCCAAGGCUCAUGUACUCUAAGCCACCAUAGUCACCUAUAAUCAAAAGUUUAGCUACAAACAAAAUAAUUCAUAUUGAUUAUACUCGGCCUCGCGAAUUUGCAGUUGACACUAACCCAACUCAUAUAAAAUCUCACAGUUGAAUAAUGAAGUGCUUACCUCGACAUGCCUAUUUGUUCCACUUGCUUGCUCCUUUGCUCAAUCAUUCAACUUAAUCAAGUUCUCUCUUUUGAUUUCUAGGGUUUCUUCAUCCAUGGUUCCCUGCUCAUUGAGCCUUGAAGAUACAAUAACCCCUCUUUUGCAUAUUCUGUUUACUCGCAAUACAACUGCUUACUUUUAC